GAGAAAGCUCUGCUGCCUCCAGUAAAGGAGGCAAUUGGAGUUGGGCACCAAGCCCUCUACACGCAUGGGCGUUGAGGACAUGGAAAGCCCAUUUCUUCUCGUCUCUGUGGCUCAGGCUUCCAGCUCCUCUGGUGGAAAAAUGCAGCUUCUGGAAACCGAGUUCUCUCGAACCAUCCGGGAGCUCAUCGAACUCCACCUGCUUCGCCAGGACAGCAUCCCAGCCUUCCUCAGCGCCCUCACCCUCGACCUCUUCAGCCGCCAAACCAUCACUUAGUUCAUACCAGUCCUGCCAACACCCACCAGCCAGGUGGGAACUGCUGUCUUGAGGAGCCACAGCAUUGCUGCUAACAGCUUUUCCCAAGAGGAUCUCCCAAAUCGGGGCCUCAGCCAACAGACAGAUAUGGAUGUAGAGGAAGACUGGUCUGAAUGGUCCCCUCCAACUGGAGCCAAGAGCUUGGUCCCUGAGGCAGGAUAUUGGUGAAGGAUCAGAGUCAUGAAUUAGCAGGUUUGUUUUAAAUACCUUCUGCUCUUGCUAGUAGCUCAUCAUUGAGCAGGGUUGAAAUAAUGUUCAAGUUAUCUAAUUACCUGAGUCUCCGUCCUGGAAAGCCAGCCCCUGGUCUGCCAUGACUCCGCAGCCAAGCAUAAGUACAAAUGGAUUUUAGAAGACCCUCUGCCUUUACUGUCUCCUCACUGCCAUGGGGUGUGCUCUGAUGUCACUGACCUGCUUUUUGUUUCUUAUCAAGACUCAUGGACUCUUGGUUGUCUCAGGAUUGCAGAUGAUGGGAGGGAUCUUUGCUGUACUGCUGGUUUUAGCCUGGUGCUUGUGAUCAGGCUGUGGUAACUACCCACCUUGUUGUGGAUGUCUCCUUCCCUUGAAAGUGUCUGUUGAGGAUGGAGCACCCCUUGAAGUCUGACAUUCUGUGUUGCAAUGGA